UACUACCGAAGCUACGGCAUCAGUAAUGAUGGGUAGGGGAGCUUCCCAUACGGGUUGAAGCAUGACCGUAAGGACAUGUGGACAGUAUGGGAGUGAGAAUGUUGGCAUGAGUAGCGAGAUGUGGGUGAGAAUCCCACAGGCCGUAAACCCAAGGUUUCCAGGGGAAGGUUCGUCCGCCCUGGGUUAGGCGGGACCUAAGCUGAGGCCGAAAGGCGUAGGUGAUGGACAACAGGUUGAUAUUCCUGUACUACCGAUAACCGUUUGAGAGAAGGGAUGACACAGUAGGAUAAGCUAAGCACACUGUUGGUUAUGUGUGCCCAAGCAUUGAGGCAGUCAAAGUAGG
rnacentral:rRNA from 1 species